rnacentral:rRNA from 1 species
UACGGGGGGGGCAAGCGUUGUCCGGAUUUAUUGGGCGUAAAGAGCUCGUAGGCGGUUUGUCGGGUCGGCCGUGAAAUCUCCACGCUUAACGUGGAGCGUGCGGUCGAUACGGGCAGACUUGAGUUCGGUAGGGGAGACUGGAAUUCCUGGUGUAGCGGUGAAAUGCGCAGAUAUCAGGAGGAACACCGGUGGCGAAGGCGGGUCUCUGGGCCGAUACUGACGCUGAGGAGCGAAAGCGUGGGGAGCGAACAGG